UACAGAGGUCUCAAGCGUUGUUCGGAUUCAUUGGGCGUAAAGGGCGCGUAGGCGGCGGGGUAAGUCUGGUGUGAAAUCUAGGAGCUCAACUCCUAAACUGCACUGGAUACUGCUCUGCUAGAGGACUGGAGAGGAGACUGGAAUUCACGGUGUAGCAGUGAAAUGCGUAGAUAUCGUGAGGAAGACCAGUGGCGAAGGCGGGUCUCUGGACAGUGACUGACGCUGAGGCGCGAAGGCCAGGGGAGCAAACGGG
rnacentral:rRNA from 1 species